GGCUCGGUAGCUUAGUUGGUAAAGCACUUGUCUAGCGUAUAGGAAUCGUGAGUUCAAAUCUCACCUGAGCUG
rnacentral:tRNA from 1 species